rnacentral:rRNA from 1 species
GAUGAACGCUGGCGGCGUGCCUAAUACAUGCAAGUCGAGCGCACAGACGAGGAGCUUGCUCCUCUGACGUUAGCGGCGGACGGGUGAGUAACACGUGGAUAACCUACCUAUAAGACUGGGAUAACUUCGGGAAACCGGAGCUAAUACCGGAUAAUAUAUUGAACCGCAUGGUUCAAUAGUGAAAGACGGUUUUGCUGUCACUUAUAGAUGGAUCCGCGCCGCAUUAGCUAGUUGGUAAGGUAACGGCUUACCAAGGCAACGAUGCGUAGCCGACCUGAGAGGGUGAUCGGCCACACUGGAACUGAGACACGGUCCAGACGCCUACGGGAGGCAGCAGUAGGGAAUCUUCCGCAAUGGGCGAAAGCCUGACGGAGCAACGCCGCGUGAGUGAUGAAGGUCUUCGGAUCGUAAAACUCUGUUAUUAGGGAAGAACAAAUGUGUAAGUAACUAUGCACGUCUUGACGGUACCUAAUCAGAAAGCCACGGCUAACUACGUG